ACUCCCGAAGCUUCAGUUGGCUUCCACAUGGAACUGUCUGGCCGAAAAAAGCAAAGAAUCAUCUGGAACUGGAACCCUUUGCAACGGUUUUUGGUAUACUCUGUUUAUGUCUCUUCGUUUGUUGUUGCAGAGCAACUGAAGCACCGCACACCGGCUACUUGAUUGUGAGGAGAAGAAUAAAGUAAGCCUACAUGCGUGGAUUAGCUGCGUUGUCCCCUGCAAAGAUCAAGUUGUUCAAACAAGCCUACCCUAUGAAAGGAUCAUGGGGUACUGUGGCCACUUCAACACCAAAGAGACAAGGGAACAAUGAUCCUGGCGAAGGAGGACUUGUUGCGAAACAGAAAACCGAACCAAUUGUCGCCUUCAGCAGGCCUCCGCCCCUUCCACCGGUUUUCGGACCAUUGCUUUUUCUCUCUCUGCUAGAAACGUGGUGGAGUCGCGAUAACAAUGAUGACUGAAAGGUGAUUUAUCUGUCCUUCUAACGCUGGCAUUGUCUGAUCCUCUCUACUUGAAGAAAAACUUUGCAAUGUAAAGCACAAUGUAGUAUGCAUAGCUGAGCAAUCGAGCUGCAAGGUUCCAAAGCCUUAAGUAGCUGUCUACAAGUGGUGCGAAAAGUAUUGUGUAUAUCUUCCAUAACCAUUGAAAAACGAUAUGAGGACUCUUUAGGAACCCUGCAGGAGAAAUAUCUUGAUGUUAUGUCAUGCUGUGAUUGAUAUAUAUAUAUAAGAUGAGUUAAGGUUUU